rnacentral:rRNA from 1 species
UUCGAUCAUGGCUCAGAUUGAACGCUGGCGGGAUACUACACAUGCAAGUCGAACGGCAGCACGGACUUCGGUCUGGUGGCGAGUGGCGAACGGGUGAGUAAUGUAUCGGAACGUGCCUAGUAGCGGGGGAUAACUACGCGAAAGCGUAGCUAAUACCGCAUACGCCCUUCGAAGGAAAGCAGGGGACCUUCGGGCCUCGCACUAUUAAGAGCAGCCGAUAUCGGAUUAGCUAGUUGGUGGGGGUAACGGCUCACCAAGGCGACGAUCCGUAGCUGGUUUGAGAGGACGACCAGCCACACUGGGACUGAGACGGCCCAGACUCCUACGGAGGCAGCAGUGGGGAAUUUUGGACAAUGGGGGAAACCUGAUCCAGCCAUCCCGCGUGUGCGAUGAAGGCCUUCGGGUUGUAAAGCACUUUUGGCAGGAAAGAAACGGCACGGGAUAAUACCCCGUGCAACUGACGGUACCUGCAGAAUAAGCACCGGCCCAACUACGUGCCAGCAGCCGCGGUAAUACGUAAGGGUGCAAGCGUUAAUCGGAAUUACUGGGCGUAAAGCGUGCGCAGGCGGUUCCGGAAGAAAGAUGUGAAAUCCCCAGGCUUAACUUUGGAGCCAUUUUUAACUACCGAGCUAGAGUGUGUCAGAGGAGGUGGAAUUCCGCGUGUAGCAGUGAAAUGCGUAGAUAUGCGGAGGAACACCGAUGGCGAAGGCAGCCUCCUGGGACAACACUGACGCUCAUGCACGAAAGCGUGGGGAGCAAACAGGAUUAGAUACCCUGGUAGUCCGCGCCCUAAACGAUGUCAACUAGCUGUUGGGGCCUUCGGGCCUUGGUAGCGCAGCUAACGCGUGAAGUUGACCGCCUGGGGAAGUACGGUCGCAAGAUUAAAACUCAAAAGGAAUUGACGGGGACCCGCACAAGCGGUGGAUGAGUAUGGAUUAACUCGAUGCAGCGCGAAAAACCUUACCCACCCUUGACAUGUCUGGAAUCCCGAAGAGAUUUGGGAGUGCUCGCAAGAGAACCGGAACACAGGUGCUGCAUGGCUGUCGUCAGCUCGUGUCGUGAGAUGUUGGGUUAAGUCCCGCAACGAGCGCAACCCUUGUCAUUAGUUGCUACGAAGGGCACUCUAAUGAGACUGCCGGUGACAAACCGGAGGAAGGUGGGGAUGACGUCAAGUCCUCAUGGCCCUUAUGGGUAGGGCUUCACACGUCAUACAAUGGUCGGGACAGAGGGUCGCCAACCCGCGAGGGAGAGCCAAUCCCAGAAACCCGAUCGUAGUCCGGAUCGCAGUCUGCAACUCGACUGCGUGAAGUCAGAAUCGCUAGUAAUCGCGGAUCAGCAUGUCGCGGUGAGAAUACGUUCCCGGGUCUUGUACACCGCCCGUCACACCAUGGGAGUGGGUUUUUUACCAGAAGUAGUUAGCCUAACCGUAAGGAGGGCGAUUACCACGGUAGGAUUCAUGACUGGGGUGAAGUCGCUAAAGGUAG